UACGUAGGGAGCUAGCGUUGUCCGGAAUCAUUGGGCGUAAAGCGCGCGUAGGCGGCUCGGUAAGUCUGCUGUGAAAGUCCAAGGCUCAACCUUGGAAAGCCGGUGGAUACUGUCGAGCUCGAGUCCGGAAGAGGCGAGUGGAAUUCCUGGUGUAGCGGUGGAAUGCGCAGAUAUCAGGAGGAACACCAAUAGCGAAGGCAGCUCGCUGGGACGGUACUGACGCUAAGGCGCGAAAGCGUGGGGAGCGAACAGG
rnacentral:rRNA from 1 species